rnacentral:tRNA from 1 species
AGCCCCGGCAGGGGUAUAGCCUGCCUCUUUAGAUUUGCAAUCUAAUAUGUAAAACACCUCGGGACU